AAAACUUUCAACAACGGAACCUCUUGGGUUUCGGGCAUCGAUGAAGAACGCAGCGAAAUGCGAUAAGUAAUGUGAAUUGCAGAAUUCAGUGAAUCAUCGAAUCUUUGAACGCACAUUGCGCCCGCCAGCAUUCUGGCGGGCAUGCCUGUUCGAGC
rnacentral:rRNA from 1 species